AUUGAACGCUGGCGGCAGGCUUAACACAUGCAAGUCGAGCGGGGUGAUGGUGCUUGCACUAUCACUUAGCGGCGGACGGGGGAGUAAUGCUUAGGAUUCUGCCUAUUAGUGGGGGACAACAUUUCGAAAGGAAUGCUAAUACCGCAUACGUCCUACGGGAGAAAGCAGGGGAUCUUCGGACCUUGCGCUAAUAGAUGAGCCUAAGUCGGAUUAGCUAGUUGGAGGGGUAAAGGCCUACCAAGGCAACGAUCUGUAGCGGGUCUGUGAGGAUGAGCCGCCACACUGGGACUGGGACACGGCCCAGACUCCUACGGGAGGUAGCAGUGGGGAAUUGUUCGCAAUGGGCGCAAGCCUGACGACGCAACGCCGGGUGGAGGAUGAAGGUCUUCGGAUUGUAAACUCCUGUCGAACGGGACGAACACCUUUCGGGAUAACGCCCUGAGAGGCUGACGGUACCGUGAGAGGAAGCCCCGGCUAACUCUGUGCCAGCCGCCGCAGUAACAC
rnacentral:rRNA from 1 species